UACGUAGGGGGCUAGCGUUGUCCGGAAUCAUUGGGCGUAAAGCGCGUGUAGGCGGUCCGGUAAGUCCGCUGUGAAAGUCGGGGGCUCAACCCUCGAAUGCCGGUGGAUACUGUCGGGCUAGAGUGCGGAAGAGGCGAGUGGAAUUCCUGGUGUAGCGGUGAAAUGCGCAGAUAUCAGGAGGAACACCAAUGGCGAAGGCAGCUCGCUGGGACGGUACUGACGCUGAGACGCGAAAGCGUGGGGAGCAAACAGG
rnacentral:rRNA from 1 species